UUGCUAAUGAAAAAAAAAAAAAGGGACUUUGCUACCAGUACUCCACCUCAGUUUGCCAAAGUAUCAAGAUAAAACAGCAUGCAGAAAAGUACACCUUGUUUGUAAGUGUUCCCCAAAGAAAAGUUGUUGAAGGAAUGCAUAAUAAUAACCAUAGCUUCUGGCUAAGAGAAAGCAUGCUUAAAAAUUUGAAAGUUACUGUAUUUGGUUACCUUCCAUUCAGUAGCUUUAGCUAGUUCCCUAAGAAUGUGAUGCUCAAACUAUCUGUAAAUGAGCCAUUUCAUUUUGGAUAUCAAAGGAGCCUCAGAAGAAGUGAAGACAUCUAGAACACAGCAGAGCAUGUAACACAGUCAUUAGAAAGCAUCCCUUGAUCCAUCUAUCUGAAGAGCUAAACAGGGGAUUCAAAAUGAACAUGCUAAAGCUCAAGUGAAGGAAGAGACAAAAACUGGUGUAUUAUGAAGUGUGUGCAUCUGCUCUCUCUACAUUUGGAUUCUCUGCUUGUAUUAAAGAUUUGAAUUUUUAUAUGACUUCUCCAAUGUGUAUGGAAUCAUUC
rnacentral:lncRNA from 1 species